UACGAAGGGGGCUAGCGUUGCUCGGAAUUACUGGGCGUAAAGGGCGCGUAGGCGGCUCUCUAAGUCAGGGGUGAAAUCCUGGAGCUCAACUCCAGAACUGCCUUUGAUACUGGGGAGCUUGAGUUCGGGAGAGGUGAGUGGAACUGCGAGUGUAGAGGUGAAAUUCGUAGAUAUUCGCAAGAACACCAGUGGCGAAGGCGGCUCACUGGCCCGAUACUGACGCUGAGAGGCGAAAGCUAGGGGAGCAAAUGGG
rnacentral:rRNA from 1 species